ensembl:lncRNA
AGUGAAAUGAGACCUUCUAUCUUCUCUUGAGUUCUUUCUGGAUGACAGCACCAUUCAUUGAAGAAGCUUCAAGUAGACUAAGGAGUUUGGAUAGGAAACUCUCAUGAGAAAACUAAAAAACUGUGGUACCAAUGUGGACAGAGGAUUCAUAUUGCUAAGAAGUUUUCAUGCCUUGCUUUUUUUAACCUGAGUUACCAGAAAUCAUAUCCUACAUGGUCUCUCACUGAUUGCAUGGACAUGAACACCACCCAAGGAGCAAGAGUAUUGCUGCUCAGAGAGGAAGCGUACUCCAUCAAAACAUGGCUCUCCUUCCACUGCAGAACAUGGAACUUGCUCUACAAGGAGUUGGAGUGGAGCUCUUCUCACGCCUUUCACAGAUUUUAUGCUAAACAAUUCUGUUGGGUCCAUGGAGAAGCCAAAGGCACUGAUCUUUUGGUUGAUGAUUGCACAGAAGUCUGUGGAGAAGUAUCGUGCUGUUGUGCAAGGGAUCGCAGACAUGGAGGCCACGAGGCGAUGCCUGCCUUGCAGCAUUCACAAGAACCACCCUGUGCCAUUGGGUACUGGGAAGAACACUGCCGUGUUGAGGGCAACGCAUCCAUGCUCACGCAGCAAUUCAAGUCAUGCUUGACUUGGAGCCUGCAAGCAGUUUCCUUGCCUCCAAUGGAAGAGUGUCAUUUUGUUUGACACCAUUCAUGUAUUUUUGUACAGAUACGGUAUUUCUUCUUCACUUCUUUAGCAGCUGCUCUACAACAUUGCUUUCUCUGGAAAUUAUUAGUGCCAGACUGUGUGGGAAGGGCUUGGUACUUCCUGUCCCUAUUGUUUCUGGGGAAGACUGGUUUGCUGCAAAGCGCUACUGGAGAGAAACGGGUGGGAUAACUGUGGCAGCGCUUGCCCAAAGUCCUGGGUUUGGUGUCCUUAAUUUACCAAUCAGUGGAACCAAGUGCUCAGCAUCAGUGGAACCAAGUGUUUCAACAUUUUCUACUAAAGCAGUAAGGGUUGGCUGUCCCGCUGCCAUAGAGCAGGACUAUGGAAUUUUUGGACUUAUAUGGAAAUCUGAGGAAACUUCAGAAAUAAUUCUGGAAUAUGCCCAGCAGACUGCAUGGUAACAGAGGAGCUGGCUGAAGAAUUUAUAGCUGUGGAGAGAGAAUAAUAAUCUUUUUCUAAAGAACUGUUGAUCCAGGGAAGGGAAAAAACAACUCAGAAUGCUAACAGAGAAUCUGUCAAUUAUUUUUUUUUCUCUGGUGGAUGACUUAUGAGGAACCUAUACCCCCAUAAAUCACAGAAAUAAAACAACACAGCUGAAAUUAACCAGCAGCAUUUAGACGGAAUUUGGGGCGAGGAUCUCACCAGCUUUCUGUAACGCCAGGACUGCAGUGCCAUGUUGUUCUAAUCUCAGGCACUUCCAGCAGAUAAGGUUGCAUAUAAACCACAACCCAUCUGCAAUUUCAGAAGGGCCAAACCAACCCGUUUAGGAAUGGCUAAAUUGCUACUUCUCGAGUUUAAGUGGCAGCUUGAUAAAUGUGACCUAUUUGAUGUUAACUCCAGGGAAGCGUAGCCAAUUUUUCUUUAGUUUAGCCUAAGGGAAAAAGUGUAUUAAAUCUUUGCAUGUUGACAUUUAAAGUCUUUUCAGAACAAGAUCACACCAUUCUAGAAUUUAAGGUUGAAUCAGUUGCUGUUAUAUGUUUACCCUGUGUAAUUAAUUUGUUCUAUUAAUUUACUUCCAGACUCUUUUACUACUCAGGAACCUUAGUUACUUGCCACGAUCCAUAGUACUAGACACUCUCAAACACAUGGUGUCAGUUAAAAAAACAAAAAAAGAAAAGAAAAAAAGAAAAUCCACCUUGCUCUCUUUCUGUGUCCAAUAGAUAACUGGAAAAAAAGUGUGCAGUAGCUGCAUCUGCUGUUGCAUGCCAGGUGUCCUUCAAGUAUUGUGUCAAGGUCUUGCCUGCAGCCCUAGCAGCCAUAUUUACCUCUCUGUGAUUUAAUGCUGAUCUCACCUCCCCAUGUUUUUGAGCAUUCUGUAAUGCUGCUUGUCACGGGCAGAACAGCAGAGACCACAUUUCCUCUGGGCCCACGGCACUAAGAGUUAAGCCAGGAUGCAAGUUGACAUGGACAUUUUUGGUCUUUGUAUUGAGAGGGGCGUUAGGAAUUGCCUUUUAGGAGCUGUUGCCCAGAAGGCCCCACUAGUUGAAAGAAUGGUUAAGAAUGUCUUCAGCUGUUUUUCUUUUCUGUUUUGUACAUCUGAUGCAGGCUUGUUAACGGGGUUCCCAUGGACCGCCUCAGCACGACAAUACUGGUGUGAACAAGUAGCUAUCCUGUCCUACAUUAGCCUCCUAGGUGCUGUUCUUACAAGGCAAGGAGCUGUGCUUUUCUGUGCACAGAUGUUCCUGCAAAAUCCCAGUUAAAAGACAGAGAAGAUGACAAUUGCUCACCUGUUUCCAAAGCGUAGGUUAGACCCAGGCAAUGGCUUUAGUUACAUUGAUUUGACUGAUUGCAUUGUUGGAGUAUGUCAAGAAUGUAUGUUACCAUUAUACACUGAAAAUAUAUAUGCUCCAUAGACUCUGAAGUCUUGAUUGGCUCAGCUAGAAAUAUUUGAGUGAGUGUUGCAGAACACUGUAUAUUUUCAAGGUGGUUGUUGGUCUCUUGCUAUUUUUUGAGCAGUCAGGAGAAUAAGAGUCAAAGAAGUUCCACCUCAGUGGAUUCAUGGCAUUGCAUUUUAAUGACACUGAAGCAAAUAUGCGUUACCCUAAUGAUCCCUUCCACUUUAAUAGCUGGACUACUUCUGUAUUUCUCAAAUAACUGAGGCUGUAAAGUUUUCUGCAGCUUAACUAGAUUGUUUUUGGUGUCAGCUAAUGUCAUGUUUUAUUGAGUCAAUGUGCUGGUUUCCCGCCAGCCGUAUUUCAUGUUUUACAGACAAGUCAUCUCUAUAGGGUACUGUUAGAAAAUAUUUUAUAACUUCUCAUGUCUAUUUGCAAACCACAAACAGUCUCUCUGGUAAAACAAAAUGCAUUCAAUUAUCUUAAUUUUUACUAAUUUCACUUUUCUCUGAAAAGUCCCUCUGAUGUGGAGAGUGCAGCUGUGGAGGAGGGAGCCAAGAGCAGCCCGGAGAGAAAACAUCGGUGUUGGCAGAGUGGUGGGAGCCGUAGCAGGGCAGGGGGAGAGCAGGCCUGACAGCACAGGGAGGGCUCUGUGCUCCAGCUAGGACUCUCACAGCUCCACCAGUCCCUGCAGCACUGAGGCAAGUCAGUGUGGGGAGGGUGAGGCUGUCCCACUUGCAGGUGACAAGGGCACAGAUGGAGGUACCAGCCCUUGCUGGCGGCUUUGGAGUGGGCUCAUGUGACAACUCUGCAAUUGCUCUGGAGCAGCGAAUACUGAGGAGUGAGGUAAGCAAAGCGAUGCCAACAAAAACCAUGUUGCUGUUCCACUUUCUCUUUCAUAGAGAUGUGGACUGGCACAGCCCUGCUCUUUGGGAUCUGCCCAGAAGGCCUUUAUUGCUUCCCUUUCUUGAGGAAAAGGGUGGAACAAGCAGGCUGACCCAGGAAAGCUGAUCAUCUUGCCUUUGGGGUCUAUAUGGCUUGUAAUGUUGGGAGGUUGGUUAACAUCAAACUGUGUGAAUGGAAGGAGUUGUCUUCAACUUGGAGCUCCAUUUGGGAUACCAAAGGUCUUAACCAACCUCUUCAGCAGUCUGUAAUAGAAGGCAGCUGCUCCAAAUACUGUGUUUUGACGGUUCAAAAUUAUUAACGUGGUUCUUUGCAAUAUAUUUUCCACAUGAUUUUGUUUUAAAUUCUGCGUGUGGCCUUGUGGCCAAAAGCCUUACUCAUGUCUGCAAGCAUGUGGAUGUAAAAUAAACCCUGCAAGGUAAAAGCUCUGAAUCAUGUGAGAAGUUGAAUCAUUCUGUUGGAAGCAGGGACUAACAAAUGGAAAGAGCAAUUCUGAGCACAUUCUGUCACUGCAAGGUGCGAAGUAUGUGCUGAAUAUGAUUUCUAUUUAUACUUUUAUUCUAAAACUGUCAAAAAUCCAAGCUUAAGAUUGCUCUUCUUCAUACAGUAGAACAAAGCACUCUUUCUACCUUGGGUCUGGAUGCCUUGAACACUUCCUAUUCCUUCAAGCACCCUUUCCAGUGAAGAGACAAUUCUCUACCUCCUCUAAGGUGGUAAUUUGCCAGGUACUAUCAGGAGCAAUCCAGCAUUGAAUUGGGGAAUUUUUUUUUAAUUGCCAGUUAAAAUAGAUGUGGAUAGUUUAUUAACAAGAACAAAAUUAAAAAAAAACAUGUUCUACUUCACCCCCCUUUGUUCCCUCAGGCUCAAUCAGUCCUUAAUUUCUCACUCCUCUUUCUCUGUUGCGAUGAACUGUAAAGUAUUUGUUCCUUGGGCACUGGCUAUGCUUAGUGAUCAAUAGCCACCGAUGCUGGGAGAUUGAUCCCCUGAGACUGGAGAGCAAUCUGUUUGUUUGUUACUCCUCACUUCCCUCUCCUUUCAGAUGUUGGAGUGAUUUUGUGCAAGCUGAACUUGUUAGCUUGGUCAGUGUGUUUUCCUGUAAGUGAGCGCUGCUUCAUGUACACAGAAGACACACAGAUGAUUAGAAAGGAAGAAGAGAAGAAGGAAAAAGCAGUGAUUG